UACCCCCUGGAGAACCUGACUCUCUCUAACCAAACCACUCCUCGCUAGCAAACAUAUAUCUCAGGCCAACCAUCUUAUCCUGAAAGCUUUGCAAUGCAAUGAAGUUGGUGGCAAAUCGAGUAAUGCCAGGCCUCACCAAAUCCCCUCCGCAUUUGUCCCUCAAUAGUUGUAAAGAAUAUCAAUGGUUGUACACAAAUGUGGUCACUUGUCUUACUCGCUCGACCACACCCGCUACCAAGGAUUUCUUACCCAUGUCUUUAAGCAUGAGGUCAAUGCAAUGGGCAGCACAUGGAGUCCA